GAUGAACGCUGGCGGCGUGCCUAAUACAUGCAAGUCGAGCGAACAGACGAGGAGCUUGCUCCUCUGACGUUAGCGGCGGACGGGUGAGUAACACGUGGAUAACCUACCGAUAAGACUGGGAUAACUUCGGGAAACCGGAGCUAAUACCGGAUAAUAUAUUGAACCGCAUGGUUCAAUAGUGAAAGACGGUUUUGCUGUCACUUAUAGAUGGAUCCGCGCCGCAUUAGCUAGUUGGUAAGGUAACGGCUUACCAAGGCAACGAUGCGUAGCCGACCUGAGGGGGUGAUCGGCCACACUGGAACUGAGACACGGUCCAGACUCCUACGGGAGGCAGCAGUAGGGAAUCUUCCGCAAUGGGCGAAAGCCUGACGGAGCAACGCCGCGUGAGUGAUGAAGGUCUUCGGAUCGUAAAACUCUGUUAUUAGGGAAGAACAAAUGUGUAAGUAACUAUGCACGUCUUGACGGUACCUAAUCAGAAAGCCACGGCUAACUACGUG
rnacentral:rRNA from 1 species